UUGCUCUUCAACGAGGAAUGCCUAGUAAGCGCGAGUCAUCAGCUCGCGUUGAUUACGUCCCUGCCCUUUGUACACACCGCCCGUCGCUACUACCGAUUGAAUGGCUUAGUGAGGCGUUCGGAUCGGCUCAGGGAGGUCGGCAACGACCACCCAGAGCUGAAAAGUUCGUCAAACUUGGUCAUUUAGAGGAAGUAAAAGUCGUAACAAGGUUUCCGUAGGUGAACCUGCGGAAGGAUCAUUACUGAGAUAGGGUCCCCAACGGGGCCCGACCUCCAACCCUUUGUCUAAACUACCUUUGUUGCCUCGGCGGGCCGUCUGAGCCUGUAUUCCAGGCCCGGCCGGCGGCUCCUUUGGAGCCCCCGUGCGCCCGCCGACGGACCCCUUCAAACCAUUUUUGAACCAGAAAAUCUGAGUGAAAUAUAAUACUUCAAAACUUUCAACAACGGAUCUCUUGGUUCUGGCAUCGAUGAAGAACGCAGCGAAAUGCGAUAAGUAUUGUGAAUUGCAGAAUUCAGUGAAUCAUCGAAUCUUUGAACGCACAUUGCGCCCCUCGGUAUUCCGGGGGGCAUGCCUGUUCGAGCGUCAUUAUAGACCAUCAAGCACAGCUUGGCAUUGGGCCUUCGUCCCCGCAGCGGACGGGCCCCAAAGACCUCGGCGGUGAAGUGUCGGCCUCAAGCGUAGUAGAAUCCUAUCCCGCUUACAGAGGCCGCGAUUCGCCCGCUCCGAACACCCCACACCUCAAGGUUGACCUCGGAUCAGGUAGGGAUACCCGCUGAACUUAAGCAUAUCAAUAAGCGGAGGA
rnacentral:rRNA from 1 species